UUGAACGCUGGCGGCCUGCUUUACCCCUGCAAGUCGAACGGUAACAGGCCUUCGGGUGCUGACGAGUGGCGAACGGGUGAGUAAUGCAUCGGAACGUACCCAGAGGUGGGGGAUAACGCAGCGAAAGCUGUGCUAAUACCGCAUGUGAUCUGAGGAUGAAAGCGGGGGACCGAGCAGCAAUGUUUGGCCUCGCGCCUUUGGAGCGGCCGAUGUCGGAUUAGCUAGUUGGUGGGGUAAAGGCCUACCAAGGCGACGAUCCGUAGCUGGUCUGAGAGGACGACCAGCCACACUGGGACUGAGACACGGCCCAGACUCCUACGGGAGGCAGCAGUGGGGAAUUUUGGACAAUGGGCGCAAGCCUGAUCCAGCAAUGCCGCGUGCGGGAAGAAGGCCUUCGGGUUGUAAACCGCUUUUGGCAGGAACGAAACGGUGUCCGCUAAUACCGGGCGCUAAUGACGGUACCUGCAGAAUAAGCACCGGCUAACUACGUG
rnacentral:rRNA from 1 species